GAGUCAGGAGUGUGAGGUGUGUGUUUGAAAGAGUGAGAACAAAAAGUGGGGAGAUAUUUGGUGUAUAUAGAGAAAGAAACCAGUAAGUUUUAUGGUUCCCUCACAUAGUGUUCUUUAGAAAGACAUCAAGCAAACCGAGUAUCUUCACAGGGAAUUUUACCGAGUAUCUGCUGGCAUUAAAUAUUUGUAAAGAGGCUUCAGAUUUUCCCUUUGGAAACAUUUCUGACUCUAAUCACUGAUGCUCCUCAUGCUGUUGCCACAAUCCACAGUGACAUAUGUAAUCUGUUCCUAUGCAGUCAGAGCACCUUAAAACCAUUCUGCUGGAGGUUAUUCGCCAUCAUACCUACAGCAGGGUUGAGCUGG